rnacentral:tRNA from 1 species
GUAGAGCGCAGCUCGGACGUGACCCGACGAGUGUCCGCUGUCCCACGGCGCACGACUCAUAAUCGUGAGGUCGCGGGUUCAAGCCCCGCUCCUGCUACA